GUACACGAGCGGCGAACGGGUGAGUAACACGUGAGCAACCUGCCCCCGACUCCGGGAUAAGCGGUGGAAACGCCGUCUAAUACCGGAUACGACCUCGUACCUCCUGGUGCGGGGUGGAAAGUUCUGUCGGUCGGGGAUGGGCUCGCGGCCUAUCAGCUUGUUGGUGGGGUAACGGCCUACCAAGGCGAUUACGGGUAGCCGGCCUGAGAGGGCGACCGGCCACACUGGGACUGAGACACGGCCCAGACUCCUGCGGGAGGCAGCAGUGGGGAAUAUUGCGCAAUGGGCGAAAGCCUGACGCAGCGACGCCGCGUGGGGGAUGACGGCCUUCGGGUUGUAAACCUCUUUUACCACCAACGCAGGCUCCCGGUUCUCCGGGGGUUGACGGUAGGUGGGGAAUAAGGACCGGCUAACUACGUGCCAGCAGCCGCGGUAAUACGUAGGGUCCGAGCGUUGUCCGGAAUUAUUGGGCGUAAAGAGCUCGUAGGCGGCGUGUCGCGUCUGCUGUGAAAGACCGGGGCUUAACUCCGGUUCUGCAGUGGAUACGGGCAUGCUAGAGGUAGGUAGGGGAGACUGGAAUUCCUGGUGUAACGGUGAAAUGCGCACAUAUCAGGAGGAACACCGGUGGCGAAGGCGGGUCUCUGGGCCUUACCUGACGCUGANGAGCGAAAGCAUGGGGAGCGAACANGAUUAGAUACCCUGGUAGUCCAUGCCGUAAACGUUGUGCGCUAGGUGUG
rnacentral:rRNA from 1 species